AGCCCCCAUCUGUCGGUCAAUCGCCUCGAACUCUUCGCCUCUGCUCAAAAGUGACACGCCAGACGAGGGUCCCUUUUUUAUUUCACAAAAUAAAAUAAAAUAAAAUAAAAUAUUAUUGGGUUGGGUUGGGUUCAAAUUAAAUGAGUUUAAAUCCACAGAGAAACACACAAACACAAAAAAGUGCCAAAAAUAUUAAAUGAGCUUUUCUAUUAUCGGGCAGCUCAAUAACUCAACCACUCCUCUGACUCCCUUACUGCCACUGCAUUACUCGGAUUCCUUUUCUAUUAACUCUCUCAAUUCUUUUUAUUUACAUAAUUAUUAUUAAAAAUUUAUUAUCACCAUUCCUUAUUUUUUGAUCAGACGGUCCACUAAAACCCUUGUUUGAUCUCAAGGUCAGUGUAGUACUUUGUAAUAUAUUUAUUAUUAAUGACAUAAUCAAACAUCAUAAUUACACUCACAUUUAGAUUUCUUACUGUACACACACUCCCUAAUCUAUCGUACGAGGUGCUAACAUUUUGCCAAAUCCAACGGUCAAUAUGAUACGAAUAAUUUACAGUGAAUAUAUAAAUACUAAUAAUUAUAUGAUUAUUAAAAAAGAGAGAGAGAGAGAGAGAGAGAGAGAGAGAGAGAGAGAGAGAGAGAGAGAGAGAGAGAGAGAGAGAGAGAGGUGCAUGGGGUCGUGGUCAUUUCUGGAAGUGAGAAGCUAAAGAGGGGAGGUGGUGGUGUGGUGGGACCAUGUUUGCAGCUAUGUUUUGUCUUUUGUAACGUUGGCUUUCCAAUCUCUUUUAGUUGUUAUAAACCCAAGUCCCAAACCCCUCAUUUCCCAUAUCAUUCUCAUUCAUAUCAUCAUCAUUAUCAUCAUCAUCAUCUUCUUCCUUCAUCUCUCUCUCUCUCUCUUUCUGUUUCUCUCUUCUCUUAUCCCCCUUGAAGCUAGCCGAAACUCUUGGGGGACAUCUAUCUCUAUAUAUAAGAGAUAAGAGAGACACCAAUACAAAACAAAAUCUUAAUUUUUCAAACCCCUUUUGGUUUACUAGCUUUAUAAGCCUCUUAUUAUGAAGGUAAAAGGAAAAGAAGAGAAGAAGUGAAGCUUUUAUGUUUGCGGGGAACGUUGUCUGGCUCGAGGAUACACUUUGUGAUUAUUUGAUCUGUUUUUUAAGCAGUCGAUUUGAGUAGUGGGUCGUCGGACCAGGCUUCAUUCCCCCCAAUUAAAAGCUUCUCCCCCAAACAAAUGUCUUUCUCUUUUAUACCAAUCGCUUGGUUUAGGUGAUCACUACUCUGCAUGUCUCAAUGUGAAAAGGUUUGCUUUUUUCUUUUCUCUUUCUCUAAAUUACAUUAUAUGUACAUAUAUGCUAUUUUGGGUUUGUUUUGCGUAAUGGGUUUUGGUUUUCUUGAGCAAUUAAUAUGUGAUGUUGUGUACUUUAUAUAGCCUGUUUUGCAGAUCAUUGGCAUAAUGAUGGUGUUUUUUCAAAAAAACAAAAAAAAAAUGUAUUGGGGCUCUGCCAAAGAAACCUUUUUUUCUUCAUCAUUGCUCUCUGAUUUUCUUUCCAUCUUCUUUUUUCUUGUUUUUUCUUCUGUAUGAUCAUGUUAUCAUGAUGGCUUUCUUUUUGCUCCAUCAUUGGUCAGAUUUUUUCUCAUGAUGGCUUCUAGCAUGUGAUUUCUCUGUCUUUUUCUGCCAUUUUUUCAGAUCUGGUUUUUAUAUUUGCUAAACAUUCUCUUUAUGUAAUUACUUCUCACGUUUAAUUAUCAAAUCUUUUUACUUUCUCUCACUUAGGGUUUCGUGGGGGUUAAUCUUUUUUCCUUUUUUUUAAUUAAUCAAGAUCUACUUCUUGUGACGAGAACCCCUGUCAAAUAUAUUUUUGGGAUUAAGAUCAUAAUAAUGAGUUAUUUUCGGUAGGUUAGCCAAAAGAAUAGGCAAAUGGGUACACCAAGAUGCGGUGAUUGUUUCAGGUUAAGUUAUACAUAGAGAUCUAACAAUACUAUUAUUAUUAUUUGCCUGCCUAUUUAGCUGUCUUCAACUUUAGGUCUUUUUUCCCUAAAUAAUGUUGUUUCGUCAUAUCUUUCUCUUUUCCUACACCUGUUGUCUCCUAAAACUUGAUUAGAUGUGUACUAUACACUCAUCAGAUCGAUGACAAUUAUUUCUCAUAUACAUAUGUAUAUAUAAUAUACUUUGUUGGUACCAUAGCAACACAUAUCAUAUAGAUGAAAUAAAGAAAUUAACUCAUUUGUGUCUAUGCAUUGUAUUAUAAUCAUCUAUUCACUCAAAACCCUACUCUUGUUAUCCAUUGUGAUAAUAUAUAUAGAUUCGUUUCGCGACUCAAAACAAUUCAAUAUAUACAUGAUAAUAUUUCUUUCUUUCUUUGUAUAACGUAUCUUUCCCCCAAAUAAUUUGGCCUUACCCUUCAUAGCUUUCUUUCAUAUAUAUUAUAGUUUUUAUUUUUCAUAAAUUGUAAAACUGAGUUCGGGUACCAGAUGAAUAUAACCUUUAAUCUAUCACUUACUCGUACGUUCCCUAAGGUUUGAUAUGAAGAAAUGCAUGGCAGUCUAAUUAUAAUGUGAGACUGAACAAGAAACAACUACUGAUAAUUAUGAGCUGCAUUGCUUCAGGCAGGGAAUAGUACUAUAGAAGCCUGGAACCCACUUAAAUAUAUAUACAUAUAAUAUAGAAGAGACCAGACAGUUAUGCAUGACGAGGAGGCAAGAUCGAGAGUGUUACAUGUAUCUUAGUUAGGUCUCACUAAGAGCAUAGGCGAUUGCGUCAAUCAAUUUAAAAUAUUAUUUUAGCAGCAAUAAAAGUUAAUGGUGAAUAUUGUCUUCUAUAUUCUAAAUUUCCAACAAGUUUAGGAAUCAGUGCAAAUAAAAGUUUACACAUUUCAGAAAUCGCACCUGUUUUGGAAUCAAUUUUCAGCUUUUUUGGAUGAUCUGUAUUCAUAUAUUCACUACAAGUUGUUCAAUUAAGAAAAUAAUUAUAAAUUAUAACCAAAGCAAAGCAUUAAUUA